CAAGCUGUUGCACAACCUAUGGCGGAAAAAUAAUUUUUGCGGCAGAUGCAUUAAUUUUCCUUUUUUUUAGUAAGAGCGUCGAUAACCUUUGUAAAGAGGAUUUCAUCAGAAAAGUUAAGGGAGUAUGUCUAAAGAGCCCGCAGAAGACUGUGCGCAAAACCCAGGGACCGUGGAAAAAGUACCCUGCGCACACCAAAGCGAGAAUGUGCGGCGGGUUUGGGAGCGAGUUGUCCGUCUUUGUGUAACAAGGAAACUCGAGUUUGUCCAGCAAUGCAGAAUGAUUUUGCUUCAUGGGCCCUCGUACCUGCUCAAGUAAACCUGUUUAAGGACACCAGCCCACACGGCUAGUGGUCGUGCAAUUACAGAUUAAAUUACAGCAGUUAAUUUUAACUAUGAUACAAUGGGCUGCAGGAAGGACACGUCGCAGCGUCCAUAAAUUACACUUUUCUUAAUCUUGUUACUGCAGUGUUAACGUCUAUUACGUCUUAUUUUAUAGCCUAAAUCCCGUUUUCGCUAUCUGAAGAAAAAAAUUAUAUCACAGAUAAUGAACUCCUGUAAAAAUGUCACAAUGGGAAGUGGAAAUCCCUAGAGUUUUCUAUGUCAGACAUAUGACAUGAGUCUUUUCAUCGAUUGUUUAAAAUGAUUAGUUUACAGUUACAGUAUCUCUACAUUUCUGUUUUAGUACUUGCUUAAAUAACAGCGCCCAUUAAAAAAAACACCAUUACUGAUGUAUUACAUUCACCAUGAACCAUGGGUAGUUAUACUGUGAAAUGCAGAUUCAACACCUAUAAUAAGUAAAGACUUGGCUAUUUGAAUGUGUCAUUGCAGUUACACGCCUGUCUGGCAGUGCGGAUGCUAUCUGCCUGUGUUUCUAAAUCUCUUUGAGCUCAUGCAGCUAUGCCAAUCCUUGCACUUCACACGCAGUCCACCCCUGUACAGCAGGAUUUAUACAUCUCUCUAGAUCUCCGGCUUGACAAGUUUAAGAAAAGGCUCCACCAAGGGCAAUUAGGCAACUAAUUAGUUCAAUUAGGUAAUUAAGGGCUCAGUUGGAAACAGAACCCAAAACCUUCUGGCCCUCCAGGAUAGGAUUUGUGUUCCCCUGGGUAAGUGAAAGUAUAGUUUUCACCUAAACCACUGACGCUCACUCCUGAUCCCAGAGUUGCUUCCUGUCCAGGUUUUUUUUCCAGCCUGGAUUCUUCAUGAGUUGAUUUUAAUUUUUUUUUUCAUUUAAUUGGUCUAGUUAUCACUAUGCCCAGGUCUUUACUCACAGAGAAUUAUAACUUACCUAUAAAAACCUGGUGGACUGUGGCCUUUCAGCACCAGGAGUGCAUAUUGCUGAUCUAGACUGUAUUAUAUAUAGAAGAUUCUCAAACAGAUCACAUAUCCCAGCGAAGACGGGUCAUGAAUUCCGUACUUGUGAUUCCAAGAAACAAGGGCUUUGAUUACAGUCUUCUUGAAGCACAACAUUCUUUUACAGCUCAACAAAGCUUUGCUUCUGAGGCUGUAUAUACUCUGGUGAAAUCAAACAACGCAGUAAUGCAGAUUAAGUAAGAUUUAUGAUUAAAUAAGUGAAUACAUUUGCUUAGGUUGUUCCAUAUCAUUAAGUGCUUGUUGUUCUUUUCAACGUUUUAUGGAAUCCUGCUGUCUUUUGCUCACCAUUAAUGAUCUCUUCAUUAAUUAACACAAAAUAAUAACGCAACAGUGUCCUUUGGAAAUACUGUAUGCUUAAUCCUCCAUUUCAUGCUGUAUCACUAGUUAACACUAAAAGCUUUUUUAGUCAAGCAUUAACCAUUGCUGAUUUACAAGCUUAAUUUUUAACAGCAAUUUACUCUGAAAUUUAGAUGUGAACAGAACUCAAUAGAGCUGGCAGGCCUGUCUGUUAUCUGCCGUCACAGCCUGAUGUGCAGAGAGGGAGACUGUCCCAUAAUAGUGUUUUACAGUAUAUGAUGUAUGUAAAAUGCCCAAUAAUAUGUCUAUACUAGUCAGUAAAUGUCUAUACAUGUGUUAAUUGUAUCUGCUUUGGCAACACAGUAGUUCAUAGGUCAUUGCAAUAUGAAUUGAUUUUGAAUUUUAAUACAUUGCAAUGCCGAAAGGCAUGUUCACAAAUUCCUACGCACUCACAUUUGUGUUAACACAAGGUGAAGAGAGACAAUGUUACACACAUUCUGCACGUCGCUGUAGUCUCACUAGCCAAGGACAAGGGAACUGGAAGAGCUGGAUCUGUGUACACAAGGAUGCCAACAUGGUGACUAGGUGUGCUGCACAGAGCUGGUGGCAUGUGACAUUGCAAGGUAUACCCUGUUGUCUUUGCUGGGUUUGUUUAGUUCCUUCAACAGAGUUUUCUCCUACUGAACAUUGUCUUGGUGUGACCUAAAUUACAAGUGACAGUACUGAUCUGGCAGCCUAGGUAAUGUAUAUUAAAGUCUAAAGACUAAAUAUAAUAUUUUCUUCAAAAUAUUAAUGCAUUUUUUCCACCUUUAACAUGUAGAUACUUGUCUUUUUUAAGUGCAUUUUAAAAGCACCGUUUACUGCGAUGUUCCCUAUUUCAGGCGCCUCUGACGAGUAGCAUCUUGAACGGAUCGCUGUAGCAAAGAAAGAUCAGUUAGUGGGACGGGAGACAUUUAAGGAGAAUCACUAUGUCAGUGGUUCUUAAACUGCACACUGUCGGCAGUAUUGCUGGACCAGUAGUGGCACUUCUCCCCAGAGAAGACCCCAGGCCAAUAGCCCAGUACGAUGAGCGGGGACACUGUGCUAGGAAGUGCCGUCUUUCAGAUGAGAUGGACCCCAUCAUGGUAGGUGCUGCUGGUGCAGUGUGGCUGCUGUGUGUCACCCAGAUGGCUCCUGCACUGCAGAGGGAAUGAGCAGGUGACCUACCAUCCAGCUCAUGGGCAGCGAUUUCAGAAGAAGAGCCCUAUAAAAAUUCAAGUCUUCAUUUCAAAAUAAAGAACAAGCAUCUGUGGAAAUGGAAAAUAAAGUUAUCUAUACUAUACAUCCACUUUUCGGAAAACCUGUAUAGUGAUGUAACUCUUACCUCACCCUGCCUAUCACCGCUUUAAGGCCUACCAGAAAGAAAGAAAAGAGCAUUAAGCCCAGCAGAGUCUUCCCAGGAUUAUCAGGUGGAUGAUGACUCCUUAACAAUAUCCUGAUCACUAGGGAGAUGCAGUUUUUUAAAGGGUUUUAUUUUGCUUCCUGCAGCAGUUAAAUUAGGUACAGUUAUGUUAAAUGUGGUAUAUAUUAUAUUUUCAGUAUUAAAUAUUGUAUAGAUGUUAGAGGCACAUAGGAAUUAUAGAGUACGCUCCCCAUUAGUAAAAAUAAA